rnacentral:rRNA from 1 species
ACUCAAAGGAAUUGACGGGGGCCCGCACAAGCGGAGGAACAUGUGGUUUAAUUCGAUGAUACGCGAGGAACCUUACCCGGGCUUGAAUUGCAUCUGAAUAUGCCGGAAACGGUAUAGCUAGCAAUAGCAGAUGUGAAGGUGCUGCAUGGUUGUCGUCAGCUCGUGCCGUGAGGUGUCGGCUUAAGUGCCAUAACGAGCGCAACCCUCAUCAUUAGUUACUAACAGGUAGUGCUGAGGACUCUAAUGAGACUGCCGGCGUAAGCUGUGAGGAAGGUGGGGAUGACGUCAAAUCAGCACGGCCCUUACGUCCGGGGCGACACACGUGUUACAAUGGGGGGGACAGCAGGCUGCGAAGUGGUGACACCGAGCGAAUCCUCAAACCCUCUCUCAGUUCGGAUCGAAGUCUGCAACCCGACUUCGUGAAGCUGGAUUCGCUAGUAAUCGCGCAUCAGCCAUGGCGCGGUGAAUACGUUCCCGGGCCUUGUACACACCGCCCGU